rnacentral:rRNA from 1 species
UACGAAGGGGGCUAGCGUUGUUCGGAAUCACUGGGCGUAAAGCGCACGUAGGCGGAUCUUUAAGUCAGGGGUGAAAUCCCGAGGCUCAACCCCGGAACUGCCCUUGAAACUGGAGAGCUAGAAUCUUGGAGAGGCGAGUGGAAUUCCGAGUGUAGAGGUGAAAUUCGUAGAUAUUCGGAAGAACACCAGUGGCGAAGGCGACUCGCUGGACAAGUAUUGACGCUGAGGUGCGAAAGCGUGGGGAGCAAACAGG